rnacentral:lncRNA from 1 species
GAAAACGAUAAAUAUAAGUUGUUUAAAAAUAACGGCGUAGUUGUUACCGUUAAUACUGUUAAAAUACUCGGUGGUUAAAACACAGUAGCACACAGUAUUGCACCAAUUAUUGAUUCUUACGUAAGAAGGCACUACUCAAUAAUUGUUACAGUAAUUACUGUUCAGUAUUUUAUUUUAUUGAUUCAAUAAUUGUUGUGUUGAUAUUUUAUAUUACUGUUGUUUCAAUAAUUGUCACUACACAGUAUUUUUCAUUAUCGAAGCAAUAAUUCAUAUUAUCUG